UACGUAGGGCGCAAGCGUUGUCCGGAAUUAUUGGGCGUAAAGAGCUCGUAGGCGGUUUGUCAAGUCGGCUGUGAAAACCCGAGGCUCAACCUCGGGCCUGCAGUCGAUACGGGCAGACUAGAGUGCUGUAGGGGAGACUGGAAUUCCUGGUGUAGCGAUGAAAUGCGCAGAUAUCAGGAGGAACACCGGUGGCGAAGGCGGGUCUCUGGGCAGUAACUGACGCUGAGGAGCGAAAGCGUGGGGAGCAAACAGG
rnacentral:rRNA from 1 species